GAGUUUGAUCCUGGCUCAGAUUGAACGCUGGCGGCAGGCCUAACACAUGCAAGUCGAGCGGUAGAGAGAAGCUUGCUUCUCUUGAGAGCGGCGGACGGGUGAGUAAUGCCUAGGAAUCUGCCUGGUAGUGGGGGGAUAACGCUCGGAAACGGACGCUAAUACCGCAUACGUCCUACGGGAGAAAGCAGGGGACCUUCGGGCCUUGCGCUAUCAGAUGAGCCUAGGUCGGAUUAGCUAGUUGGUGAGGUAAUGGCUCACCAAGGCGACGAUCCGUAACUGGUCUGAGAGGAUGAUCAGUCACACUGGAACUGAGACACGGUCCAGACUCCUACGGGAGGCAGCAGUGGGGAAUAUUGGACAAUGGGCGAAAGCCUGAUCCAGCCAUGCCGCGUGUGUGAAGAAGGUCUUCGGAUUGUAAAGCACUUUAAGUUGGGAGGAAGGGCAGUAAAUUAAUAACUUUGCUGUUUUGACGUUACCGACAGAAUAAAGCACCGGCUAACUCUGUGCCAGCAC
rnacentral:rRNA from 1 species